rnacentral:lncRNA from 1 species
GUAGUAAGCUUUGUGGAGAUUAGACUCCUCUCCUUGCAAAUUGAAAGCUAUGAUAGCUAGAUUAAUCCAGAGAUGCUUCGAGCAAAUCUGGAUCUACCUGAAGAGGUUCGAGAAAAAGCCAAUGUAAGAAUGGUAGCAUAUCCAUAUAGGAUGGCACAAUAUUGUAACUCCCAUGUUAGAGACAAAGAAUUCAGGGUCGG